rnacentral:rRNA from 1 species
AGAGUUUGAUCCUGGCUCAGGAUGAACGCUGGCGGCGUGCUUAACACAUGCAAGUCGAGCGAAGCACUUUUUUAGAACUCUUCGGAGGGAAGAGAGGGUGACUUAGCGGCGGACGGGUGAGUAACGCGUGGGCAACCUGCCUUACACAGGGGGAUAACAAUUAGAAAUGAUUGCUAAUACCGCAUAAGACCCCAGUACCGCAUGGUACAGAGGUAAAAACUGAGGUGGUGUAAGAUGGGCCCGCGUCUGAUUAGGUAGUUGGUGGGGUAGAAGCCUACCAAGCCGACGAUCAGUAGCCGACCUGAGAGGGCGACCGGCCACAUUGGGACUGAGACACGGCCCAAACUCCUACGGGAGGCAGCAGUGGGGAAUAUUGCACAAUGGGGGAAACCCUGAUGCAGCGACGCCGCGUGAGUGAGGAAGUAUUUCGGUAUGUAAAGCUCUAUCAGCAGGGAAGAAAAUGACGGUACCUGACUAAGAAGCCCCGGCUAACUACGUGCCAGCAGCCGCGGUAAUACGUAGGGGGCAAGCGUUAUCCGGAUUUACUGGGUGUAAAGGGAGCGUAGACGGAUAAGCAAGUCUGAUGUGAAAAUCCGGGGCCCAACCCCGGAAUUGCAUUGGAAACUGCAUAUCUAGAGUGUCGGAGAGGCAAGUGGAAUUCCUGGUGUAGCGGUGAAAUGCGUAGAUAUCAGGAGGAACACCAGUGGCGAAGGCGGCUUGCUGGACGAUGACUGACGUUGAGGCUCGAAAGCGUGGGGAGCAAACAGGAUUAGAUACCCUGGUAGUCCACGCCGUAAACGAUGACUACCUAGGGUCGGGAGGCAAAGCCUUUCGGACACGCAGCCAACGCAAUAAGUAGUCCGCCGGGGGAGUACGUUCGCAAGAAUGAAACUCAAAGGAAUUGACGGGGGACCCGCACAAGCCGGUGGGGGCAUGUGGUUUAAUUCGAAGCAACGCGAAGAACCUUACCUGGCCUUGACAUCCCGGUGACAGCAGAGUAAUGUCCGUUUUCCUUCGGGACACUGGAGACAGGUGGUGCAUGGUUGUCGUCAGCUCGUGUCGUGAGAUGUUGGGUUAAGUCCCGCAACGAGCGCAACCCUUACCUUCAGUAGCCAGCAUAGUAGAUGGGCACUCUGGAGGGACUGCCAGGGACAACCUGGAGGAAGGUGGGGAUGACGUCAAAUCAUCAUGCCCUUGGUGGCCAGGGCUACACACGUGCUACAAUGGCGUAAACAAAGAGAAGCGACCACGUGAGUGUGAGCGAAUCUCAAAAAUAACGUCUCAGUUCGGAUUGUAGUCUGCAACUCGACUAC